GAAGAAGAAGAAGUGAGAAUGCGUGGUGGAGGAAUAGGGGGAAGAGGCCGAGGUGCGCGAAGACACUGUGCUGUCCCGAAUGAAAUUCAGGCCACAAUUAUAGACCAUGUCAUAAACCAUUGCCUCACAAUGGCAGAGGCAGGUCGUCGAGUGCAGCCUAAUAUGCCUCACUCUUCAGUCUCCUCCAUCAUCCAAACCUUUCGCAGGGAAAACAGGAUUGGACGACAACCUCAUGUGGGUGGCAGAGGAAAACUGCUCAAUGAACAACAGGAAAGAGAGAUUUGUAACAUGGUGAUGGCAUACCUGCUUGAUACCAUAGAGGACAGGGCUGUGGCUCCCCACACUCUCUAGCAGAUCAUUACAUGGAGAAACCUUUGGAAUGCAAGCAUGCUGAUCCACACAGGAUGACAAAGGAUGAACUGAAGCUCCGCCAUCACGUGAUGUCACAUGCUGCUGUUUCUGAUGUCACUUCCAAAAAGAAAAACAAAACAAAACAAACAAAAAAAAACAUGGUGAUGGCAAAUAAUGCCAUCACAUUGAGACAGAUCCGUGAUGCCAUCCUUCAGGACAAUCAUAUAUUCCAGAAUAUAAACACAAUAAGCAUCUCCACAAUAGACCGGGUUUUGAAGAAGCAUCACAUGACAAUGAAACAAAUCUACAGGGUACCGUUUGAGAGGAACUCUGACAGAGUGAAGGAGCUGCGCUACCAGUAUGUAAAUAGAAUAAUGGUAUUGGAAGGACAUGAGACCCCUCACAUCCUGGUGUUCGUGGAUGAAGCUGGCUUCAACCUGGCCAAGGGCCGAAGACGUGGCCAUAAUAUUAUUGGCCACCGGGCCACAGUGGAUGUCCCAGGUCAGCGAGGGGGCAAUAUAACUAUGUGUGCUGCCAUUUCUGAAAAUGGUGUGGCCACUCACAUCCCCAGUCUUGACCCAUACAACACACACAAGCUCCUCAUCUUCUUGGAUCGCCUUUAUACCGAUUUUAUCCCUGAAAAUGAGAGAGGUCUCAUAGGGCCUCACCUACCUAUUUAUGUAAUUGUGUGGGACAAUGUCAAUUUCCACCAUAGCCCACUCAUUAGGGGCUGGUUUGCAACGCAUCCAAGGAUGGUCAUGGGGUUCCUGCCACCUUACUCUCCUUUCCUCAAUCCGAUAGAGGAGUUUUUCUCUGCUUGGAGGUGGAGAGUGUAUGAGCAUCAUGCUCAGGAUCAGCCGUCCCUGCUCCAUGCUAUGGACGCAGCGUGUGACGACAUUACAGGAGAUCAAUGCAGGGGAUGGUUGCGGCAUGCACGCCGUUUCUUCCCUCGUUGCAUUGCAAGAGAACUUGGCAUGAGAACUUUCUUUCCGUGUGAAUAAAAAAAUGGUUAUAAUUUCCUUGGUAGUGUGAGUGCAAUCUGUGAUAUCAAACCUUGGAGGCUACUCUUUUCUGUUGUAUAUUGUUGGUCCUCUGCCAUAGUGACAAAACAUCUAAAUAUUUUGUAUGACAGUACUCACACAAUGCCAAAGGGACGAUGCAUUUUGGGGGCACUGACUAUUCAGAUUAAAAAGAAAUGUAGUUUUGACACAUGAGUGAACUGUUUUAGGAGAGAUAUGAGCUUUUGCAGGUGGACCAUGUUGUUGUGAUCAACCAUCUUGGUUUAUUUUGACAAAAGCACCAAGAAUGAUGAGAAUGUCCGAUCUGUGUCGAGAAAUGAGCCAAAGCUAUUGAGAAGGAUCUUUGCCAUUUUGGAGACACUGACUGUUUAAAUGCGAAAGGGAUUUAGAUUGACGCCUGAGUGAACAGUUUUGGAAGAGAUAUGAGCUUUUGCAGGUGAGCUAUAGUGUUGUGCUAAACUGUAAGAGUGUUUUGCCAAAUGAUCUUAGAGUUUUGAGAAUGUAAUUUCUGUUUCAAGAAAUGAGCCAAACCAAUGGAGAAAAACUGUAGUAAAGUUGAAAAUGAUGCUGUUAUACUAACAAAAGAUGAGAUGAAAUAAAAGGCUUGUAGACAGUGGGCAAACUGGCCCUCACAGUGUCUGAAUUGGG
ensembl:lncRNA